UACACAGACGUGAAUCCAUGGCUCCUUGACAGCGGAUCCUCGCACCACAUCGCAAGUGAUCUCCAUAAUCUCUCUCUUCACUCUCCUUACAACGGCGGUGAACAAGUUGUGAUCGGGAAUGGUGCUGGCCUUCCAAUCACUCAUACCGGUGAAGGAUCUUCACACGGGGACGACACUACUCAACGGCAAGGCCAAUGAGGGUGUAUAUGAGUGGCCGAUUACAUCCUCUCCAAACACAAACUCCUCCAUUUCUGCUUUCUCGUGUCUCAAGUCGUCUCCUUCGGAUUGGCACUCUCGUCUUGGUCAUCCGAAUUCUCAAACUCUUCGUCAUAUGAUUUCUAGUUUUUCUUUACCUAUCACUUCAUCUAUGUCUUCUCACUUAUUUUGAAACUCUUGUUCUAGAAAUAAAAGUCAUAAACUACC